GAGUUUGUCGGUUGGUCGGGCUUCACUGUCCGCACUGGCCUGGUGGAUUCCUACCUUCUGAACAACCGGCAUGCUAUUAAGUUAGUGCGUUGGGGAAGCAGAGCUAUUACCUUGAAAAAAUUAGAGUGCUUAAAGCAGGCUUUUGCUUGAAUAGAUUAGCAUGGAAUAAUAAAAUAGGACGGACUGAUUCUAUUUUGUUGGUUUCUAGGAUCACCGUA
rnacentral:rRNA from 1 species